UGAUUCUUAAUUGAUCUAAUUUGAUUAGAUCAUAUUCUAAUAUGGGUUAGCCAAGAGUUGGCACCUAAUUGGCUUGGUUUGAGUCUAAUUGGAUUAGAUUUGAUAAAUCAUUUAUUUUUGACCGUUAGAUCUUCAUCUACCGUUGGAUGAAGAUAUAAUGGUGAGUUGGUUUGAACCCAAUUAGAUUGGAUUAAGAAAGGCCUUUAAUCAUGACCAUUUGAUCUUCAUCAGCCAUUGGAUGAAGACAUAAUAUGAUCAUGAUGAGGUGUCUUGCAUUGGGACCAUUGGAUCAUCCUAGAACCGUUGGAUGAUGACAUAACUCUCCUUACUCAUGGCGCCUUGCAUUCUAGCCAUUGGAUCUUCAUCAUGAGAUGAUGGAUGAUCAAGAUUCAUGGCGUGAUGGAUCAAAAUUUGAUGUUGACUUGGUCAACAUCAGAUGGCGUGAAGAUGGACUUAUGAUGGCGUGAAGAAAGAGAAUGCUGCAUGAGGUGUUUUGGAUAAGGAUGCCAUAACCACCUCUUCACAUGAUACGCCUCCCUAUUUUGUUGGCGCCUCAUCCUAGAGAUGGCUCUUCAUUUGAUCACGCCUCCAUCCACUUAUCAUGCCCCUUCAUGUAGGGAUGUAUGGAUAGGAUGCAUCUCUUGGAAAAGCAUCCGUACACCAUCUAUAAAUAGGAAUGCUCCCGGUGAAUUCUAUUCCAUCGGAAAUCAAUCCAACUCUCUCUCUC
rnacentral:lncRNA from 1 species